UGGGGGAUAUUGCACAAUGGGCGAAAGCCUGAUGCAGCGACGCCGCGUGGGGGAUGAAGGCCUUCGGGUUGUAAACUUCUUUUGCUCUGAACAAGGCGCACCAUGGGGUGUGUUGAGUGUAGGGGUUGAUUAGCGCCGGCUAACUACGUGCCAGCAGCCGCGGUAAUACGUAGGGCGCGAGCGUUGUCCGGAAGUAUUGGGCGUAAAGGGCUUGUAGGUGGCUGGUUGCGUCUGUCGUGAAAGCUCAUGGCUUAACUGUGGGUUUGCGGUGGGUACGGGCUGGCUUGAGUGCAGUAGGGGAGGCUGGAAUUCCUGGUGUAGCGGUGGAAUGCGCAGAUAUCAGGAGGAAUACCGGUGGCGAAGGCGUGUCUCUGGGCUGUUACUGACACUGAGGAGCGAAAGCAUGGGGAGCGAACAGG
rnacentral:rRNA from 1 species